GACGAACGCUGGCGGCGUGCUUAACACAUGCAAGUCGAACGGAAAGGCCCUGCUUUUGUGGGGUGCUCGAGUGGCGAACGGGUGAGUAACACGUGAGUAACCUGCCCUUGACUUUGGGAUAACUUCAGGAAACUGGGGCUAAUACAGGAUAGGAGCUCCUGCUGCAUGGUGGGGGUUGGAAAGUUUCGGCGGUUGGGGAUGGACUCGCGGCUUAUCAGCUUGUUGGUGGGGUAGUGGCUGACCAAGGCUUUGACGGGUAGCCGGCCUGAGAGGGUGACCGGCCACAUUGCUACUGCGAUACGCACCAGUCUCCUACGGUAGGCAGCAGUGGGGAAUAUUGCCCAAUGGGCGGAAGCCUGAUGCAGCAACGCCGCGUGCGGGAUGACGGCCUUCGGGUUGUAAACCGCUUUCGCCUGUGACGAAGCGUGAGUGACGGUAAUGAGUAAAGAAGCACCGGCUAACUACGUG
rnacentral:rRNA from 1 species